rnacentral:rRNA from 1 species
UGGGCGCAAGCCUGAUGGAGCAACGCCGCGUGAGUGAAGAAGGGUUUCGGCUCGUAAAACUCUGUUGUUAAAGAAGAACGUAUCUGAGAGUAACUGUUCAGAUAGUGACGGUAUUUAACCAGAAAGCCACGGCUAACUACGUGCCAGCAGCCGCGGUAAUA